UGGGGAAUUUUGCACAAUGGGGGAAACCCUGAUGCAGCGACGCCGCGUGAUUUAGAAGGCCUUCGGGUUGUAAAAAUCUUUUCUAUGGGAAGAAAAUGACAGUACCAUAGGAAUAAGGACCGGCUAAUUACGUGCCAGCAGCCGCGGUAAUACGUAAGGUCCGAGCGUUGUCCGGAAUCAUUGGGCGUAAAGGGUACGUAGGCGGGUAAGCAAGUUAGAAGUGAAAUCCUAUAGCUCAACUAUAGUAAGCUUUUAAAACUGCUCAUCUUGAGGUAUGGAAGGGAAAGUGGAAUUCCGAGUGUAGCGGUGAAAUGCGCAGAUAUUAGGAGGAAUACCGGUGGCGAAGGCGACUUUCUGGCCAUAACCUGACGCUGGGGUACGAAAGCGUGGGUAGCAAACAGG
rnacentral:rRNA from 1 species